rnacentral:lncRNA from 1 species
ACAGACCUUCCUCCUCCUGGAACAUCCAAGGGCACUGGAUCCUCUGUGUCCCUCUGAGAUGGGGUGCCACUCCAGCAAGAGCACCACGGUGGCAGCUGAGUCCCAGAAGCUUGAAGAAGAGCGCGAGGGAAGAGAGCCAGGUCUGGAGACCGGCACCCAGGCAGCAGACUGCAAGGAUGCCCCGCUGAAGGAUGGAACCCCUGAGCCAAAGAGCUGAAAUGCCUCUCUCCAGAGUCGGACCCUCACCUCCUUCCUGGAACUGCCUUUGGCCCCAGAACCAUGAGACAAUCCCCACCCUGAGAAGCUCCGAUCACUGGGAGGAGAGAGAAAGCCUCCAGCUUUGGGAUUCAGGCUUCAGAAGUUUUUAGCAGCCUUUGCUCAUUGGAGAGGUGGGGAGGAUAAGUCUAUAAGGAAUCCUAUUUCCCCAGCUCUCCCACAGAGAGGACAAAAGAAGUCUUCACACGUUGUGGAACUUUCCUGCAACUUCUGGAUGCAGACAAGCCUCAGAGCAGACUGUUCUGGCUCCAGUGAAUAUCGGCUGCCAAGCUGUGAGCAUCCAGGGAUCCCCGUCUGCCUGGCUUUCCUGAAGUCAGAAGGCGCCUUGGUCAUACUGUGUGGGGUGUGUGGAUCUCAGUUUGCUCUCUUUCUUUCUCCUUUUUUCAACAGCUGGCGGAGUAGCCAACACCCCUGACAGCAAUGUGUUGCACUUGGCUCACUCCACACCCUAUGAAUAAUUUUAAUAUUUAACUUGAAAUGUUGUUAAGAAACUAUGGAAAAUAUCAGGAUCCCACUGGGAUCCCGUAAAUUGAAGGCAACAAGGUCUUGGUCCUCCAGUAAGGGGGGCAUGGAGCCCUGGUGGGAAGGAAAGAAGAGAAAUUUGUGUUCCUGAUUCCUUAAUCCCCAAGAAAGGUCCCUCUGCUAACAUUCACAUAUCUCUUCCUAGCCAAAGUCUGUCCAUUUCAACCCUCUAGCAUCUGAGCUAUCUGCAUCCAGCUUUCAAAAAUAUUUCGCUGUUUACUAACAUGUCUGUCAGCCUCUCUUUUCUCCCCCGCAUGUGUUUUGUUUUUAAAUCCACUCAAAAGCGUUUUCAUUUGAAAUCAAAUAGACAUGUUUGCAAAUAAAUGUUGACACAACACAUUUGAAAGACAGAA